GCCACCCUCCGCGCUGGGACGCCGGGGCGCGGGCAUCCCUGCCGCCUACGGAUCUCUUCCCAAGCACCUAGAACUUUCCAAAGCGUGCUUGGAAUUUAACACCUUGGUCGUCGAUCCCCGCAAAUAUACUCUGAUGAGACCGGCUUUCUUCCCAUACCGCCCAGGAGUUUCUCCAGGUGGCAUUCCUGUCGCCUUGAGGUGGAACAUCAGUAGAGGCUCGAGGCUGAAGCAAGCACAAUACACAAGAGACUCCGAUUCGUACAGGAACAUUUCGAAAACAGGAAAUCCUGAGGACAAUUAUUUCAUCCUGAGCAGGAACACAUUUACUCUUAUAAAAGUUUCAGCUUGAGAGACAGCUGGCAAGAUGGCUGAAUAGGAACAGCUCCAGUCUGCAGCUCCCAGCAAGAUCAAUGCAGAAGGUCCAAUUCUUUUCUAAAAGUCUUCUGGCUAGUCCCAGCAUUUCCAGGGAAGCUGAACAGGUGCAGCCGGAGGCUUGGAGCCACUAUGGAAGCAGCACAGUUGAUGCCUCAGAGGAUCCAGAGAAAAGACCAGAUAACUAUAAUUCAGCCUUCACCCAUAUUGUGUCUUUUUGAUUUUGUCUGAGUAUAUAUGCCGCACAACAAGCAGCUUAUCUCUGAGAUUCAAAUAGUUACUGCAAUUCCAUUAUCUGUUUUUUUACUGUGAGGGAUUUGGAGCCACAUUUAGUCCUACAUCACAGAUACAGGACUCAAGAGUCAAAGUGCACAGAAAUUUGAAUUCCGAUAAGAAUACUCUGAGCCAGUUUAUUCUGGGGUACAUACUUCAUUUUAUGCUAGAACUCUGCAAUCCUGAUGAAAGAGGGCUUGCAUUGCUCAACUAACUAACUCACCCGUCUCUCCUGCAGUAUUAGAAACUACUUCUGUAUGUACACGUUACAGUUUCUAGGAACUCCAUUUUUGCAAGACAGAUAGGAGCCAGAAAAUUUGUUCCUUCAACUGUAUAUCGCUAAUUAAACAUAAAAUCAAAUCAGCAUUUUAGGUACUUGAAUAACUAGUCUGUGCUUACUUUUAUUCAUAUGGAAGCAGUGUUUAAAUUAUUCUCUGAUUGUAAACUCACUUAUGUAAACCAUUAUACAGGAAAAAAAUGAGUAAUGAAGCAAAGUUCUGAAGCAGAUCUAUGUAAGCAAAUUUCAAUAACCUUCUUAAGAGAAUAUGACACUUAGUAGUGGUGAGGGACAUUUUAAGCUUUUUCUAUUUACAAGUUUUUUUUAAACGAGGGUGUUUCAAAGUAAAUAUUUGCUGUUACGUUAUGCCACAUGAUAUACUAAUAAAUGAAUUAAUGAAAUUAACCUAAAUAUCCAGUAUUAUUAUUGAAUAUAUAGCUACUAAAAUUUUAUAUUCAAAUAUAUCCAAGGACAUGAGGAAAUAAGGAUUUAAUUCUAAACAAAAAAAGAAGCUAUGAAAUAUAUAUAAUUUAAGACUAUAAUUUUGUUAAAAAUAUGUUUAUGUAAAUGCGCUAAAAAAAGUUCUUUAAGAAUAUAUGCCAAAAUAUUGACAAUGGUUAUCCCCUGAGUGAUUUUUAUUUUCAUCCUUAGGAUUUUCUGUAUUUUCUGUUUCACAUUUUGAACAUGUAUACUUUUACAAGAAAAUAUGAACUAAAAUUAAAAAUUUUUAAACUCC
rnacentral:lncRNA from 1 species